rnacentral:rRNA from 1 species
AUCAUGGCUCAGAUGAACGCUAGCGGAGGCCUAACACAUGCAAGCCGAGCGGUAUUGGUUUCUUCGGAAAUGAGAGAGCGGCGUACGGGUGCGGAACACGUGUGCAACCUGCCUUUAUCUGGGGGAUAGCCUUUCGAAAGGAAGAUUAAUACUCCAUAAUAUAUUGAACGGCAUCGUUUAAUAUUGAAAGCUCCGGCGGAUAGAGAUGGGCACGCGCAAGAUUAGCUAGUUGGUGAGGUAACGGCUCACCAAGGCAAUGAUCUUUAGGGGCCUGAGAGGGUGAUCCCCCACACUGGUACUGAGACACGGACCAGACUCCUACGGGAGGCAGCAGUGAGGAAUAUUGGUCAAUGGGUGCAAGCCUGAACCAGCCAUCCCGCGUGAAGGACGACUGCCCUAUGGGUUGUAAACUUCUUUUGUAUAGGGAUAAACCUUUCCACGUGUGGAAAGCUGAAGGUACUAUACGAAUAAGCACCGGCUAACUCCGUG